rnacentral:rRNA from 1 species
AUGUCCACCGACGCCAAACGUGCCGCCGCCGAGAAAGCUGAAGCCGACAAGAAGGCUGCCGAGGACGCCGCUACAGCCACCAAAGCCACGGUCUUUGCAUGGCCUACUGGAGGAAAUUGCCUAUUUACUCAACACAAGCUGGUGCAGAAGGUUGUCAUGGAGCUCUCACCUGUAUGGAUGGUGAGCCCAGGGCCGAGCGACCUGGCGUUUGGUGGCAGCCAGUCGUUUGCACUCAAGAAUGUGGAGCACAAGGAGGUGAAUGGAACUUUGCUGCUUGAGGGAUAUUUGUAG